UACGAAGGGGGCUAGCGUUGCUCGGAAUUACUGGGCGUAAAGGGCGCGUAGGCGGCCUGUUAAGUCGAACGUGAAAUCCCCGGGCUCAACCCGGGAACUGCGUCCGAUACUGGCAGGCUUGAAUCCGGGAGAGGGAUGCGGAAUUCCAGGUGUAGCGGUGAAAUGCGUAGAUAUCUGGAGGAACACCGGUGGCGAAGGCGGCAUCCUGGACCGGUAUUGACGCUGAGGCGCGAAAGCCAGGGGAGCAAACGGG
rnacentral:rRNA from 1 species